rnacentral:rRNA from 1 species
GUGGGGAAUCUUCCGCAAUGGACGAAAGUCUGACGGAGCAACGCCGCGUGAACGAUGACGGCCUUCGGGUUGUAAAGUUCUGUUAUACGGGACGAAUGGUACGACGGUCAAUACCCGUCGUAAGUGACGGUACCGUAAGAGAAAGCCACGGCUAACUACGUGCCAGCAGCCGCGGUAAUACGUAGGUGGCAAGCGUUGUCCGGAAUUAUUGGGCGUAAAGGGCGCGCAGGCGGCGUCGUAAGUCGGUCUUAAAAGUGCGGGGCUUAACCCCGUGAGGGGACCGAAACUGCGAUGCUAGAGUAUCGGAGAGGAAAGCGGAAUUCCUAGUGUAGCGGUGAAAUGCGUAGAUAUGGGGAGGAACACCAGUGGCGAAGGCGGCUUUCUGGACGGUGUCUGACACUGAGGCGCGAAAGCUAGGGGAGCGAACGGGAUUAGAAACCCGUGUAGUCC